UCCUUAGUGGCUCAGAUGGUAAAGAAUCUGCUUGCAACACAGAAGAUCCGGGUUCAAUCCCUGGCCUAGGAA
rnacentral:tRNA from 1 species